rnacentral:rRNA from 1 species
UAUUAACGCUGGCGGCGUGCCUAAUACAUGCAAGUCGAGCGAACGGACGAGAAGCUUGCUUCUCUGAUGUUAGCGGCGGACGGGGGAGUAACACGUUGAUAACCUACCUAUAAGACUGGGAUAACUUCGUGAAACCGGAGCUAAUACCGGAUAAUAUUUUGAACCGCAUGGUUCAAAAGUGAAAGACGGUCUUGCUGUCACUUAUAGAUGGAUCCGCGCUGCAUUAGCUAGUUGGUAAGGUAACGGCUUACCAAGGCAACGAUGCAUAGCCGACCUGAGAUGGUGAUCGGCCACACUGGAACUGAGACACGGUCCAGACUCCUACGGGAGGCAGCAGUAGGGAAUCUUCCGCAAUGGGCGAAAGCCUGACGGAGCAACGCCGCGUGAGUGAUGAAGGUCUUCGGAUCGUAAAACUCUGUUAUUAGGGAAGAACAUAUGUGUAAGUAACUGUGCACAUCUUGACGGUACCUAAUCAGAAAGCCACGGCUAACUACGUG